AUGUGCUUCUCUGUAUUAAAUUUUUAUCAUCAAGCUGCCAAACUUGAAAGAUGCAGCAGCCAGGAGCUGAUUGUGCGGAGGCAUGGCUCCACAGUCAGGAUACUGUCAUUUGUAAGCUAACCGUGGCCCAUUAAGUGGUAUAGCACGUGGUCAGGUAAUGAUGUUGAGGUUGUCAAGUUUGUUUUAUAUUAGUGAAUAUGAUUAAUUCUAUAUAGAGCAUUCAUCAUUCCUACAAUGAGCAAAUGUAUUUAUUCUUUAUAUCAUCUAAGGACUCAGAUUUAGCCCAGGAUGAGAGGCCGUGCUGUUAAAAGUCAUUGUUGCACACAGUGCAAAGAACCUCUGCUCACCCUUGCAACAAGAGGAAGGACGGAAAAACAAAAUGCUAUUCAUCAGUUUGUACAGGGAAACACAGAUGCAGAGAACUUUUCUCCUUCUAAGAUCCUACAGUAAUAGGUUAAGACUGGUUAGAAGAAGAGAAAGACUGCUGUGUCUCGGCAAUCAAAGAGAACCAUACCUGAAGUGAGAAGCAGCAGAAUGUGAAGGCUGCCUCAACAAGCAACUGAAGAAAAAUUCUGCAAGGUUUUGAAGAUCCUUAUCUGACUUGGAAAGCCAAACUGAACUGGUGGCAAUCAGUCCUUGCCCUUGCAGCAGACAGAAUGGGAGUGGUGGUGGUUUUGAAUCACCGAUGGUACCUUGGAGCGAUGAGCACAGCACACACCGUGUUUGCUCCAUACCCUGUCAAACUGUUGCUGCUUUAUGCUGUACUCGGCAUCCUAACCAUUCAUUGCUUUGGCAGCACCAACGAGAGCCUGGCCGACAGAAGGCAGACCCGGUCUGUGAGCAGCCUGCUGCAGCCUCGCGACUGUGCACUCUCUGCCUGGUCCUCGUGGAGCAAGUGUGAUCCUUGCCAAAAGAAAAGGUACAGAUUUGCCCGCCUGGAACAACCAUCUCAAUUCAAUGGAGAACCGUGCGAUUACUCUGACAAAGAAACUGAAGACUGUGUUACAAAUAAUCCUUGCAGGAAUAAAGUUAGAUGUGAAGGUUUUGUGUGUGCAGUUACAGGGAGAUGCAUUACACGGAGGCUGUUCUGUAAUGGGGAUGAUGACUGUGGGGACCGAUCAGAUGAAAAAAACUGCAAAAAAGUGUUUAAAAAAUGUGACCAGAAGAUGGAGGAAUACUGGGGAAUAGAGAAUCUGGCAAAAGGGUUAAACAUCUUUACAAACAAUUUGGAAGGCUUAGUUCUUGAUCACAGGUACUAUGGUGGGGGAUGUUCUCCCCAUUAUAUCGGGGACACAAGAUUCAGAAAACCAUACAAUGUGGAAAGCUACACGCCAGAGACCAAAGGCAAAUAUGAAUUUACAAUGACUGAAUAUGACUCCUACUCAAAUUAUGAAAGCAGUGUCCUGAAGGCAAAAGCUUCGCAGUCUAGCUUCAGCUUUGGCAUAAAAAUACCGGGAGUGUUUGAACUUGGUUACAAUUCAAAUGACAACAGGUUCAAGAAGUUCAUUCAAAGGAUGAAAAGAUUUUCUUCAACUUCCAGCAAAUUCAUUCAUGCCCGUUCUGAGCUGGCCGUUGCUGUUUAUAAGCUGAAGCCCCGAGCCCUGAUGCUGCAUUAUGAGUUCCUCCAGAGACUCCAUCAACUCCCAUCAGAGUACAGCUACGGGGAGUACAGAGAGCUCUACAGAGACUAUGGGACCCAUUACGUCACGGAAGCUACUGUUGGUGGCAUCUAUGAGUAUACUUUAGUCCUGAACAGCAAUGAGCUCCAAAAGGCAGGUUAUUCUUUGAGCGAUGUCCAGAAAUGUGCACAGCAUGGUUUUAACAUCGAUGCAAGUAUUUCUGUGAGGCUUGGAAUAACUGAAGCUGGCUGUAAAUCCCUUUUGAAAGAGAUUGGAGACAGCACCUCUGAAAAACAGUUUGUGGAAGAUUUCAUCGUCCUUGUUCGUGGUGGAGCAAGUGAACACAUUACCACAUUGGCUUACAAAGACCUGCCAACGGCUGCACUCAUGCAGGAGUGGGGAGAUGCUGUGCAGUACAACCCUGAAAUCAUAAAGCUAAAGGCAGAGCCUCUGUAUCUGCUGGUGGGUCCAACAGAUUUUGCUAAUGCAAUGGCAAUAAAAGAAAAUCUGCGACGGGCUCUUGAUGAGUUUCUGCUGGAGACCAGUUCUUGUCGCUGUGCUCCGUGCCACAACAAUGGGAUCCCCUUUCUGCAAGGAACCAAGUGUGAAUGCCUUUGUCCCCUUGGCUACAGUGGCACUGCCUGUGAGAUCAGCAAGAGGAAAGAUGCUGCUAUUAAUGGAAACUGGGGAUGCUGGGCCAGCUGGUCUCCAUGUUCAGGAGGUCAACAAACAAGGAGAAGACAGUGCAACAACCCUGCACCGCAAAAUAGUGGUUCAUCGUGCUCAGGGCCAGAUGCUGAGACAGUUACUUGCUAGAGGGAAUCAUUAGGAACUUACACAAAACUUAUGAGCAGUUUGCAAACUAAGUGGGAAGUUUUUACCUGACCGGCUUGAUAAGUUGGCCAAAGUCUUCUUAUGAGUCUCAUCCAAGUUGGAAAUAUUUCAGAAGGCAAUGGGAGCUGAGUGUGCACUAUGAAUCGCACCUUUGGGUGUGCUUUGCAGUUGUCCCGUGGGUUUGAAUGUGCUUACUAUUCUUAAUAUUUUUACUUUUCUCUGUCUUUAUUGCAAUGGGCUAAUUGAAACAAGCUUCCAGUGUUAUUUAGUAGCUGUAUGAUUUUAAAUUUUACUGUCUCAUUUUUGAAGGUUCCUUUCAGAUAAGAAAAGACCGUUUGAUCUUAUGUGCACCAGAAUGUGUUGCUAAUAUGCAGCUUCUGUGAAGACAGCUGUGUUUCAUUGUGAAAAAGAAGCCCACUUCAGUAAACGUGGAGUAGCUGUAUUGUCUCCACUCCUUGCUUGAAGACUUUACUACUGCAGUGUGUGCUGAAUCUGGUCAGCAUGGCUUAGGAAGCUCCCAAAAGAGGAUUUUAGGUAAGUUGUAGUUGUCAUAUCCAACUUUCCCAGGACAAAACCAACUUGACUCCUGCAGCUCCUAACAUCUCCAUCAGGAAUGGGUAAAUCAGAUUGGUUUCCAGCCUGGAUUCACUUGUUCCCUGUCUUUUCCUGUCUUGUAGACACCUUACAUUUAUCUGUGAGGCUGGAACAUGGUCUAGGCUGUGGCUGGGGUCUUGCAAACCCUGUUGUAUCUGUAGUAUUGCUCAAUGACUUUACCAUGCUCUUGUUUCUCCUGUUAUUAGAUGUAUAUAAUUGUUCCUCCUCAGGUUCUCUCCCAGAGAGAGAUUUUGUUGAAAGGAACCCAGUAAGUCAAUAUGGAGGUGUUAACAGUCCCCAGAUUUCCAACUCCUAGUGCUUGUAACUUGAUAGCUGAAGAGCCCAGGGAGCACCCAAGACAACUGCCAGAUUUCAGGUCAAAUUAUGCCUGCAAAUUUGUCUUGCUUUUAUAUCUUGUUUUAACACCCCUCUGCUUCUGUAAAUCAACAAAACUAGGGAGAAAGACAGUAAUUAUUACUGUUAUGAACACAUAGUUUUUAUUUAUUUGUAAUGCAGCACUAAGAGUUCCACCGUGUUGCACAUGACAGAGCAGCACAACAAGUGCCGGUCCCUCCCCAAACUCUCCAGAAUCUGGCCUUUCUUUUGUUUGAGGUUUUUUGGGGUAGAAUUAACUGGUUUGUCUCUUUUGGUGCCUCUGCCUUACACUAUAUAAAAAGGAAGGCAAUAAUUUUUGAGCUGGUCCUGCUGGGGAAUUGUUGCCUGCUCUAAAAUUGCAGGCUCAGAGGGAGGAAGGUGUGUGGAUAGUCAGCGUGACAUUGACCCUGAGGUAGAAAACAGCACUGUCUCAAGCACUGCCCUUAUCUACUCUUCUGUUAGCUGGUUAUCUGGAGUCUGCACCUUGCAACCUCAGGUGUAUUGUCAUCAAUCAUUUGCUAUUUUCUUUUGCGUACUGGUUCCUCUCUGCCCUUCCUUUGUUAAUAACCCAGUUUGCCUAUAUCCAUAAAAAUAUCUGAUUGUGAUACCAUUUAUCCAAAGCACCAUACAUCCAUCAUGUACUUAUGAGCGAGAUAAACAAGGUCUCCCGGGAAAUAUGCUGCAAGAAAUAUAUAGGAUAAAUAACUAUAUCAAAUGUAUGUCAGUGUGCAAGAAGAGAAAAUCCAUUCAUUAAAAGCAGGGUGGAACUGCAGUGUUUUACUGUACCCUCUAAGCUUUUAAUUUAAGUAAGAAACAUUCAUUUUCGCAGCUUAUCUCAUUUAGCACAACUCUCAUGCUGGACACUUCAGCAUGAGAUAUAUUAGCUUCUUUGACUGGCAUUGUAAAUGUGUAAUUGCUCAUAAUUUUUUUUCCAGCUUCUUCUUUUCUUUUGACUUCAGCUUCACUGCUCCUACGUUUCAGCUGUGCAGGUGUCUGAGCCCUGGAUGCACAGGGGACUGCAAUGGGAGGAGAGGGGCUGCUACCAGGCUGCUUUUGGUAUUCGAAGGAAAUACUUGGGUUUGUAUUUCAUUGCCUUGGGUUGCGAGGUCAGUGGUGAACUCUGCCCAGCACGUGUCCUCACUUUCAUCUCUAUAUUUCAACACCACGGUAUUCAAAGUGGAGAAUGAAAAACUGCGGGUAAAUCCCAGAUUUUGCACUUCUUUAUGUGGGCUUCUUGGUUGUAUUUCACAUGUGGUUUUUUUAAUCACUUAGAUUUUUUUUUUUUCCUCUGGUUCUCCAGCCUGUGAUCACCCUUCUAGAAACAUCUCGGAAAGCUGAGGAUGGAAAUUGCCUUCCUGCAGGCCUCAUCCCUCCCCAGCCUCCAAGGCAUCCAAUCUUUCUCUUCAUUAAUUUCUUCCCUCUGGUCACAAAAGAAGUGUACUUGGCUUUCUAACUAAGGUGACUUUAUAUUCAUUUACUUUCAGGCAUUUUUCUGAGUUCUAAACAGUUGAUGUAAAGGUAAGAAUCACCUAGGAGCAAAACAAUCUUUGGUGUGAGAGUACUGUCUCAUGUUUCUACGUAUCCUGCCAGCUCAAUGCCAAACAGUAUUGAUAAAACCAUUGAUGAGAAAACUUGUUUGGAUCCUACAUUUCACGUUCCUCUGAGGCUUCUUAAUCAUGGUGAUACCUGUGAUCAGCAUUUUCCCAAUACAUAAGACAUUAGAUUCAAGCCUUCGGGAGGAAACCUGUGUCUGGAUGAAUAUCACCUUUACCUGGAAGAGCAAAGUUGACAAAACGGCCACAACUUUACCACUCAUUAUAGUGAUUUUUCACAGAAGAGUUACAUCUCGGUGUUAAAGACAACAUGGUUUAUUGUUUUGGUAUACAAGCCCAGUGUAUAGUUUCAUUUUCAAGCAGAAGAGAAGUGGUGAAAAAAUUGUCCUUUGGCAAACAUGCACAUCAAAUAAAAUACGGGGCCAGAUCUUCAGGUAGCAUAAAUCAGCUGCGGUGAAGGAGAGACACUGAUUUACAUCAGCUAAGAGUCAGACUCUAAAUCACCACUGAUGUGCUUGAAAAUCAAGCCUUUCCAAGAAUCAGAGCUAUAGAUGGGCAAUUUCUUUCACUGAACCAUGAUUCCUUUCUGUUCUCUCUUUCCAUUCAAAUGUAUAUAGAAGUGCUCCUUUGUGCUUUGAGGUUUUGUUGCUGUUGUUGGUUGUCAUAAUGCCUGAUUCCUUCUCAUGGCUUUUUUUUUGUCUUCUUUCCUUGUAAUGAAAAGCACAAUUAAAUGAAGUGCCAUUGGACUCCCAUCCACCCCAGGUUUUUGUGGCAGUUCAUUAAGAAGAGGGAGCUGCAGGCUCUCACCGCAGUCUCUGGAUGCAGUUCAAUACUGUGUGUAUUCUUGUGCCGAGAUUUACGUCUUACAUUCAAAAAAGCCCCUUAAAUCAAGCAGCCUGUUAGCAUCUUCUCCAACUCUGGGUGCCUGGGAGAUAAAAUGCCUGUGUGCUAAUAGUCAAUUCAUCACUGAUCUUAAAGAAGAGUAGCCUUUGCUUGUGUGUGAACAUCCUCUGCCGAAUGGUCUUGUUCAAGCCUCUUUAUUUAUUGCUUUAUUUAUUUAUUUCAGAUUCUUCGUCAGUUUGGGUUCACAUUAUACAAUGAUGCUUUGGCGUCUUUAGGCUUAAGCUGCUUCCCAUACAGAGCAGCAUAUGGCUUUGCUGCAAAUGCAGCCAUGGCCAAUAUGCUGGACUUAAAAAUCUGACAGCGCUAACUUAUAAAAAUUUCAUG